rnacentral:rRNA from 1 species
GACGAACGCUGGCGGCGUGCUUAACACAUGCAAGUCGAACGGGAUUUAGUAAACAGAAGCCUCGGUGGAAGAUUACUAAUGAGAGUGGCGAACGGGUGAGUAACGCGUGAGCAACCUGCCUAUGACAGUGGGAUAGCCUCGGGAAACCGGGAUUAAUACCGCAUAAAAUCGUAGAAACACAUGUUUCAACGGUCAAAGAUUUAUCGGUCAUAGAUGGGCUCGCGUCUGAUUAGCUAGUUGGUGAGAUAACAGCCCACCAAGGCGACGAUCAGUAGCCGGUCUGAGAGGAUGAACGGCCACAUUGGAACUGAGACACGGUCCAAACUCCUACGGGAGGCAGCAGUGGGGAAUAUUGCACAAUGGGGGAAACCCUGAUGCAGCGACGCCGCGUGAACGAAGAAGGUAUUCGUAUCGUAAAGUUCUGUCCUAUGGGAAGAUAAUGACAGUACCAUAGAAGAAAGCUCCGGCUAAAUACGUGCCAGCAGCCGCGGUAAUACGUAUGGAGCGAGCGUUGUCCGGAAUUAUUGGGCGUAAAGGGUACGCAGGCGGUUUAAUAAGUCGAAUGUUAAAGAUCGGGGCUCAACCCCGUAAAGCAUUGGAAACUGAUAAACUUGAGUAGUGGAGAGGAAAGUGGAAUUCCUAGUGUAGUGGUGAAAUACGUAGAUAUUAGGAGGAAUACCAGUAGCGAAGGCGACUUUCUGGACACAAACUGACGCUGAGGUACGAAAGCGUGGGGAGCAAACAGG